rnacentral:rRNA from 1 species
UCCUGGCUCAGGACGAACGCUGGCGGCGUGCUUCAUACAUGCAAGUCGAACGAUAAGGUCUCUUCGGAGACACAUAAGUGGCGGACGGGUGAGUAAAAUGUAGAGAAUCUGCCCUAGAGUGGGGGACAACAGUUGGAAACGACUGCUAAUACCGCAUAUGAGCGUACCUGCAAUGGUAUUCUUGAAAACUCCGGUGCUCUGGGAUGAGUCUGCAUCUGAUUAGCUAGUUGGCGGUGUAAUGGACCACCAAGGCGACGAUCAGUAGCUGGUUUGAGAGGAUGAUCAGCCACAAUGGGACUGAGACACGGCCCAUACUCCUACGGGAGGCAGCAGUAGGGAAUUUUGCGCAAUGGGCGAAAGCCUGACGCCAGCAACGCCGCGUGAUUGAAUAAGCCCUUCGGGGUGUAAAGAUCUGUCAGUAGGGACGAAACUUGACGGUACCUACAGAGGAAGCAUCGGCUAACUCCGUGCCAGCCGCCGC